UCCCCCGUGGUGUAACCAGGCAGCACACGGUCUUUUGGUGGCCGCAGGUCAAGGUUCGAAUCCUUGCGGGGGAG
rnacentral:tRNA from 1 species